UUAUUGGGCGUAAAGCGAGCGCAGGCGGUUUUUUAAGUCUGAUGUGAAAGCCUUCGGCUCAACCGAAGAAGUGCAUCGGAAACUGGGAAACUUGAGUGCAGAAGAGGACAGUGGAACUCCAUGUGUAGCGGUGAAAUGCGUAGAUAUAUGGAAGAACACCAGUGGCGAAGGCGGCUGUCUGGUCUGUAACUGACGCUGAGGCUCGAAAGUAUGGGUAGCAAACAGGAUUAGAUACCCUGGUAGUCCAUACCGUAAACGAUGAAUGCUAAGUGUUGGAGGGUUUCCGCCCUUCAGUGCUGCAGCUAACGCAUUAAGCAUUCCGCCUGGGGAGUACGGCCGCAAGGCUGAAACUCAAAGGAAUUGACGGGGGCCCGCACAAGCGGUGGAGCAUGUGGUUUAAUUCGAAGCUACGCGAAGAACCUUACCAGGUCUUGACAUACUAUGCAAAUCUAAGAGAUUAGACGUUCCCUUCGGGGACAUGGAUACAGGUGGUGCAUGGUUGUCGUCAGCUCGUGUCGUGAGAUGUUGGGUUAAGUCCCGCAACGAGCGCAACCCUUAUUAUCAGUUGCCAGCAUUAAGUUGGGCACUCUGGUGAGACUGCCGGUGACAAACCGGAGGAAGGUGGGGAUGACGUCAAAUCAUCAUGCCCCUUAUGACCUGGGCUACACACGUGCUACAAUGGAUGGUACAACGAGUUGCGAACUCGCGAGAGUAAGCUAAUCUCUUAAAGCCAUUCUCAGUUCGGAUUGUAGGCUGCAACUCGCCUACAUGAAGUCGGAAUCGCUAGUAAUCGCGGAUCAGCAUGCCGCGGUGAAUACGUUCCCGGGCCUUGUACACACCGCCCGUCACACCAUGAGAGUUUGUAACACCCAAAGUCGGUGGGGUAACCUUUUAGGAACCAGCCGCCUAAGGUGGGACAGAUGAUUAGGGUGAAGUCGUAACAAGGUAGCCGUAGGAGAACCUGCGGCU
rnacentral:rRNA from 1 species